rnacentral:lncRNA from 1 species
GCUUUCCUUAAUAUGUCUCUUCUAUUACUUUGAAAACAGACCAGACAUGCGGGGAAGGCUAUAUUAAAUGUCGUGAUGGUAAUGAAUGCUUUCCUUAAUAUGUCUCUUACAUUACUUUGAAAACAGACCAGACAUGCAGUGAAGACUGUAUUAAAUGUCGUGAUGGUAAUGAAUGCUUUCCUUAAUCUGUCUCUUCUAUUACUUUGAAAACAGACCAGACA